GCAGUCGUGGCCGAGUGGUUAAGGCGAUGUACCAGAAAUCCAUUGGGGUCUCCCCGCACAGGUUCGAAUCCUCUCGACUGCG
rnacentral:tRNA from 1 species